rnacentral:rRNA from 1 species
AAGGGCACCACAAGAACGCGUGGAGCAUGUGGCUUAAUUUGACUCAACGCGGGGAAACUUACCGGGUCCGGACACACUGAGGAUUGACAGGUGUUUACUUAAGUUGGUUGUGUCUGGUGAUACUUGUGUAUUUAUUUAUGCAUUUUCUUCACUUUGCAUAUACUGAUUCAAGUAUAAUAAAUAUGCUAGUCCUUUCAUGAUUGUGUGAUAGGUGGUGCAUGGCCGUUCUUAGUUCGUGGAGUGAUCUGUCUGCUUAAUUGCGUUUCACAAAAGAAUCGUAGAUGCCUGUUUUUACCCUUCACGGGGUUUAAACUUUUGCGUAUCUGUUAGUAUUCUGAAGGCAACGAACGUGACCGCAGCCUCUAGUUGCUCGUCAUAUAACCAUUGGUCUUUCCAAUUUAUUGGAGGAUCUUUAGUUUACGCACGAUUUCAGCUUAACUAGAGGGACCGCUAGUAACUUUUUAAACAGAGGAAGGUUGCGGCAAUAACAGGUCUGUGAUGCCCUUAGAUGUUCCGGGCUGCACACGUGCUACAAUGAUUGUUGCGGUAAGCAUCUCUCCAAUUGUAUGUCCCCAAUUCUAUUAAGAGGGGAUUUGACUGCCCCUUCACGGGGGUGGGAUAUAGUCUCUUUUGAAUUGGUGUGACACCACUUUACCUUUUAGCUCGCAGUGUUGCUACUUAGCUUCUCGCCUUCGGGUGAGAUGGCUGGGUAGUCGCUGUUCAGGUUAGUUGUGUAUCGUGUCGACCUACUUCGAAAGUGGUUAGGCAAUCACUUAGAAGUAACAACCCAGUUUCCCGCCACUUUAUAUACCUCACGUUUUCCCGCUCCCACUUGAUUUUUAUAUCAACUUGUUGGUAUAUUGUAUCUGUGGGCUUAGUAUGUGGGCGUGAUGGUGUUGCGCUCCAUUAAUUCGUUGUGGGGACAGACCAUUGCUAAUUGUUGGUCUCGGUCUCAACUAGGAAUGCCUUGUAGAUGUGGUUCAACAAACCGCAUCGAAUAUGUCCCUGCCUUUUGUACACACCGCCCGUCA